UGGAUAGUCUUUAUUUAAUUUUAGGGCUAUAGUUUUUCAGGCACAUACAAAUACAUUUGAUUAUUAUUUUUUAAACGUAUAAAUACAUAUGAUUUUUUUUUUCUUUCUUGAGGUUGGUCGCUAAGUUGAGGAGUUGCAUCUUAAAAUUCUAGAUCCUAGUAAUCCCAAAUGGGACUAUAUGCUCCAACCAUAGCAUAAUAUACUCCUCUAGGUUUUCUACGUAAACCAAGAGAGGGUUCCUGAAAGAAGCCUUCUUCAUAAUCAUUUGCCUUUCUCUUCACACCUACACAGCAAUUAAAAAAUUAAAAAGCUGGAAUAAUGGAAAGGUGAUCAAUCCUUCUUCAAAAGUCUAGCUGGAAAGACUUAAUGCUCAAAGUGCACAUGAUCUCACAUAUCUUAUGUAUUUGGUGACACAUCUAACAUGCAAAGGGGAACCCUUUCAAAACCACAUACUUAAUUCGUUGUACUCUUCUUUUUUUUAAUAAUCUAACAUUGCAUAUGGAUGGUCUUUUGCACUAAGAUUCCCAAAGAUUAAUACUUGUUAUGCAUAGUUUGUCAUAUUGUAUAAAGCUAUCAAGGUACUUUUUUUUUUCUUUUUUUUAAUAAUCUGACACUGCAUAUGGAUGGUAUUUAGCACUAAGAUUCCCAAAGACUAAUAGUUGUUAUGCCUAAUUUGUUAUAUUGUAUAAAGCUGUCAAUGUACAUUGUAAAUCCCCGACAUAUAUCAAACACAAUUUAUAAUUGAUAUAAUGAUUGGGGCGUUUCGUGUAUGAAGGGUGAGGAUGUUAAACUUUCCUUUUUAACCCAUACCAAGUCUAGGUAAAGGAGGUGGUCGUGUUAGACGGUCAACCUAAAACUUGGCCAAAAUUUUUUAUGAAUCCUGAUUCUACAAUAUUAAUUAUGGUGAUUGAGGCUUUGAAAAAAGUUUAGAUAGAGUUGAGGCUCUAAACAAUAAAAUUAGAGCCCACUUCAAAAAUUUCAUUAGAAGAGGUUGUUUUUAUAGCCAAAUAUCCUCAAAUUAUUCAUCUAGAUGCAUGGACAUGAGAAAAAAAUAGAUUUCAACGUUUGGCAAUAGUUCAUCUUCAAAGGCUUUUUUGAACCGCCAAUUUUCAAGAUUUUCAAAUUUUCAUAAAUCUGCUCGAUCUACACUAUUUUUGAAGCUUUAAAUUUUAUAAUUAAAGAUGAAAAUUUAUUUUAAAGCUAUACUAAAAAUUUUAAAUAUUUAAAGCAAUUUUAAGGUAGGUUUCAAUUUCAUUGUUUUGAGCCUCAGCUCUAUACAAACUUCACCCUUAUAACCUUAUACUAUCUUUAGAAGAAUAUCUAUGAGGGAGCUAAAGAUCUGCCCUUAAAAAACUAAAAUGUUUUGGAGAGAGAAAAUGAAGGCAUUUUAGAGAGAGACGAAACUAAGAGGAAAUAAUGUCUUGGCAAAAGAAGAUGGAAGAACGGCAACCUACCCGGGAGACUCGGUCCACCACAAAAAUACACGCUUUCAAGCAAACCGCCGCCCCCCUCUAACCUUUUUGACACCUAAGCGCCCUCUAAAGCCACACAAUAAAUAAAGAAAAUGGAAAUAAGAAAUGAAAAUAGAUAAUUAAAUAUAAAUAAAAUAGGUGCAAAAGAAUAGAAACCACAAAUUCGAAAAAAAUCUACCCAUAAUGAGAAAGGAGUUAACUGCCCAAAAGAAAAUUAUAUAUAAACCAAAUGCAAUAUAAAAAACUGACCACCAAUUAAAAAACGAUUCAAUAAUCUCCAUAAAAAAAGAAGAAAUCAUCCACUAAUAAAAAAACCACCCAACAAAAAACUAACGCGUUGUCUCAUAAGAAAAUAAUUUAUUAUAUAGGCUCUUUAUUUAGUAGGAAAAUUGUUUGAUGUGGGCGGGACAGCUUGACUACAUAUGCGGUUCAAAUUGUGUAAAACAUCCAUCUUAAAGAUGAAUGUAAGUAGGUGUUUCAUUUAAAAAUAAUGAAAACUAACGAUUUAAAUAUUUUUUUACUAUAAUUAUUAUUUUUAAUUUUUAUUAUUUAUUCAUAUUCAUGAUUCAAAUGUCCUUAAAAAUUAAAUGCAAAAAUCCAUCUAAAAAAUAAUAAUUAUUGAGAUGGAUUUUUGCAUAAGGCCGCAUAAACCGGGUCCUUUAGUAAAACAAGAGAAAAGGGGAAAAGUCGUCAAUUUGCAGCUAUAAAUUCCCAUGAGAACCCCCUACCUUCUCAGGCCUCCGAGACUCAGCAUUCAUUGCCAUCCCUUGCCUGAGCCGUGCCUCUUCUCUUUCUCUCUCUCUCUCUUCGGAUUCCGACGAAACUCUCGUUGUAUUCAUUCGCCGGAAUCCCGAAAAUGGAGAUGCGAAAGAUAACAUGCGCUGCCCUCAUUGUGGCCGCCGCCACUCUGAGCGUCGCCACCGCCCAUGGGCAUGAGGCCCCGGCACCCGCCCCUGCCAUGCACAACGAUGCCGCCCCCAUCGCCACCUCUCUCAUCGGAGCCUCUCUCCUCUCUCUCCUCGCUUUCCUUAUGAACUAGGAAAAUUCCUCUAGAGAGGAAAAAAUAAAGAGACAAAUGAAACUUUUGGUAGAGUUUGAAGAACCUCUAGAGAGGGAAGAUAAUGAAACAAGGGUUUCUUUUGUUGAGUUUUAAUGCCCUCUAGAAAGGGGACAUAAGGUAGAUGGGCUUUUGGAAGCCUUGGAGAAAAGGGAAUCAUGGUGGAUUAUUACGGUGAGAUGGCCUUUUAUUUAUUUCCUUUGUUUUUGUUGUUUUUUUUUUUUUUUUUUUGGGUGGUGGCAUUCUUGAGUUUGUUGUUUUGUUAUUGUUUUCAUUUUUUGGUGGGUGAAAAUGGAGGGGCAGUACAAGUUUGAUGUGGAAGGUGUGGGUGUGAGGGAUGUGAAUGCAAUAAUGAAACUCUGAUUGUAACCUUAAUAUUAUUUUAAUUAUUUCUCGGAAUGUUUAUGUUGCUUAAACUUUCCUCCGGAUUGCUCUGUUUUUUGUUUGGAAAAUGGAAGAAAUUAAAUCUUCCAAGUAGAAAUGCUCAUUAUUUUGGGAGAAAUAUC
rnacentral:lncRNA from 1 species